UGUGAGUGCGCCAUGUGCAUGCUUGGUACCUGUGGAGGCCAGAAGGGAACAUCAGGUCCCCUGGGACUGCAGUUACAGACACUUGCGAGCUGCCGUGUGAGCACUUAGGAUUGAACCCCAGUCCUCUGGAAGAGCAGCCAGUGCUCCUGACCGACGCUGUGGUAGCAGCAGCACCGACGUGCCCAGGUGAAUGGAGAACAUCACGAUUGGCUCCGUGUGGACCGCUCGGUUUGGCCUGGGAUCAUGGACGUCUCCAAACCAGCCACGGUGCAGCUCUGCGCAGCUCAGAAGGUGUCCCGAAGCCCCGAGUUGACCCUAACCCACCCUGCACCAUCCGGAAGACACUGUGGAGCUCUGCGCCAAGCACAAAGCACUCGGCGGUUUCGUACUCUGAAAAAGGCGCUGCACGGCUCUGCCUGUGGGUAAGGCUCUCUGCAUCUCGGCACCCGGCACAGGGUGAGCCGAGACCGGUAAGAUGCCCCAUAGCUCUGUCUGUAGGCGAGAUCUAGCUCCGCCCGGCGAGGCAUGGCUCAGGAGUGACUCUCAUGGCAGGGAGUUAACCCCACCUGAAGCACGGGAGCUGGAAGCCAGGGGUGUAAUAGCUGCCCAGGUAAAGAGUGGGCUGCUGGGGAUUGACUAGAGGGGGCAUGAACUGCUCCUGGCAGAGGACCCGAGUUCAGUGCCCAGCAGCUCACAACCACCUGUAACUCCUCCGUGGAUAUCUGCUGUUAUGUGCACACCUACACCCACAAUUAAAAAAGGAGUGAGAAGGGAUCUUUCUUAAAAGGGGGAUUGGAGACGGAGCAGGGAAACUAUGCCAUCAAUAGGGGACAGGUGGACGCCAACGGAUUCCUCUGGUCUGGCUCUGGGUUAAGGCAUCCAGGUGCUGCUGCCCAACACCAAGGAAGUAGGCGUUUCCUCAGCAGCACCCACCCUUAGCUCACUCCUCCAGGACCUAAUGUCCUGUUAUUACCAUGUAAUCUGGGUUCCCAGAUUCCCUCAGAGUCAACUGCCUGGCCUCUGAGUGCACCAUGUCUCGAGGGCAAGGGACCACAGCUCUGGCCCCUCUGGUAUUGCAGAAAUACUUGCUUCGAGGAAGUGAAUUGUCUGCAGGCGUUUAGAGUGCUGUACCUUUCAGGCCACCUCAGCACUGGGUUUGGUUUGUUCCUUCGUUUUCCUUUUGGCCGCUCAGAAUCGCAGCCUUCUUCCUGGGAGGCCAGAAUUGCUGUGUCCUGUCACUUAUCACAGAGAAGGGCAUAGGACAGGCUCUGCCAGUCAAACCCAAGGGCUGGCACAUGAGCUGGCAGGCCACAAAAGCCAGGACCGCAGAGAGUCCUCCAUGGAAGGCGCUAUCAAGUUCCUGACAGAGCCUGAUCUGCAAUCCGACCUGGAGCCAUGGUCAGCCCUACCCAGAGACUCUCCGAGUUUCUUGGUUGUCUUAUUGUUUUCAUGCUUGCUGUCAGUCUACUUAAUUAAGAGGCAUUUUUCAGGACUCGGAGCAUAGGUCAGUGGCAGAGCACGUCCCUCGCACGCUCAAAUCCCUGGGUCGGGUGACAUGAAGCUAGGAGCACUGACUGUUACAGUCCCAAGGAAGGAUGGCUGAGCAGACCCUCUGCUCUCAGCUCAGGCUUAGCGCCUAGCUCUGAGCCUAUGCAAUUUAUUUUCUGAAUCGAGACAGGAGCAAGGUUGGGAACCCACCGCUGGGAGUCUCGGCGAGGAGAAUGUACUCGCAAGCGGAGCUACCUCAGGCUGGAAGUGUCUGUCACUGGAGGCACGUGAGCAGAUCCGGGGAGGCAGGCAGAAGAGGCUUUCAGGAUGGCUCCCGUUCCUUCUGGUGGCAUCUACUCAACCCUGGGAGACCCCAAUAAGCAGCUUCGGGUGAAAACCAAAUGCAGGGUGUGGCGAUGCACACCUGCCAUCCCAGCACUGGGGAGGCCGCCUUUGGACGAUCAGCCUCCACUACAUAAUAAGUCUGAGGCUAGCCUGGGCUACAGGAGCCUUGUAUCAGCAAGCGAAUCAAUAGGGCCAGCAAGACAGCUCAGUGGGAAAAAUGCCUAGUGCCAAGCAUGACAAUCAGAGUUUAAUCCACGGGGCUUAUGGGGUGGGAGGAGAGAAUCUACUUCAAGUUGUCCUCUGGUCUCUACAUGUGUGCACACUUGUGCACACAACAAGUAAAUAAAUAAGUAUAAGAAGACUUAAACAAAUACACAUACAGAGGGAUAAAGAACCAACGACAGAAACCCGGGAGGCAGAACCACGUCUCUGGUGCCACAGCUCUGAGUCCUUUCCAUCUCUUACAGCCUGGCCUGGGCCUGGGCCUGCCCCAUGACACAACUGCUGCUCAUCCCAUGUCCCAGGGCAAAGACUAUUGGCCUCCGUCACUUUAAUGAAAUAGCCCCUAGACCAGACAAAUACAAGCACAGACAUUUGCAACUAAUUACGGUAUUGCUGAUCCGUCAAAUUUCAUUGCGAAUUGCAUGUUGAAAUGGAGAGUGUAGAGUCAUGAAUAACCUGGUUGUCUGGGGAAGUGACACGGGCACACAGGACUAGAUAAAUAAUUCAAUUUACCCUCAGCCAGACACUCCGAGGAAACAGCAGAUUAGCAUGACCCGGAGAAUGCCUCUUCACCCCGGGGUAGCUGCUGCCGGAGUGCCUGGCUUCUGAGGGCUGCAGGGGCCUCCCUCCCACUCUGGGAGACCGCAGGGCGUUGAGUGUUCCAGGCCUUAAUUCUUGGUCUGUAAAUUGUAGCUAUGGGUUGUGCUGGGAGGGGAAGUUAGCCUGUGUUGCCAUUUGCUGCUGAGAAGCCCACUCAGGGACAGACAGCUCCCUUUUCUGAGUCCUGGGCCAGGGGGGUACACCUUCCUUGAAAGUCAGGUUGUAGAUCUGGGGGUGUGGUUCAGCUGGCAGAAUGUUUGUCUAAUGUACACACAACGCUGGGUUCACCCCCAACACUCCAUAAAAUGGGGGGGGGGGGUUGUGGCACAUGCCUGUAGUCUCAGCACUUGGGAGGUAGAGGCAGGAAGAUCAGGAAUUCAGGGUCAUCCUCAGCUAUACGUGAAACCCAGGGUUAGCCUGGGAUAUGAGAGUUCUUGUCUCAAAAAGAAAAAAAAAAAAAAAGGCUAAAUGUAUUGCUACAUGCCUUUACUUCUAACACUCAGUGACAGAGGCAGGUGGAUUUCUAUGAGUUCCAAGCCAGCCUGGUUUAUAUAAAGAGGUCUAGGCCAGCCAGAACUACAGAAUGAGGCCCUGUCUCAAAAUAAAUACAUUAGAUAAAUAAAUUUACUUAAAAAAAUUAAAAAUAAGACAGGUGAAGCCAUCAAACAAACAGAAAUCUGGUAGGUCCGGAGCCAGAGGUCUCCACCAGGACUUUCAUGGGUCCUAAAAACAAAGAAACUCAGAAAAGAGUUCACAUCAGCAUGACACGGAAGCCACAAGAUGGAAUGGCCAUGUCUUCAGGACUAAGCCCUCAGCAAUGUCCUCCUGGCAUGCCAUCACACCCCACAUCUGGGGAGGAAGCAGGAGGUGAGAUGUGGGUGUGCAAGUGUCAAUACGAACACACCUGUGUCUGUGAGACCUACCUACCGGAUGAGAGGUGCAGCUGCUGUGGCCCCCAAUCCUGGAGAACCUCACACCAAGCCUACUGGGCCAGCCCAGGGCGGGGAGGGCCCACUGGCAGCCAUGUUGGGUGAGCUGCUGUUGCAUUCUGGAUGUGGAACAGAGAGCUUGAGAAUGUCUGUGGGAAAGUGGGCCAGCUCUGGACUGGGAGAUUUGGCAAGCUGAGCCUGAUUGUUAGGGGUGGCUGUGAGUCAGCCUCAGGAGACAAUGGAAAUGAAAUUCAGAAAAAGGUUCGGGCUGCGAUGUGGGAUAUAUACACACGUAUAUAUCUGGAAGUUACUAACAGCUAAGUGAUGCUUAAAGCCAGGAGGAGGUUAUUGGGAUGGAGACAGUAGGUAGAGGCGAGAUAUCCAAGGGCUGUGCCUUGAAAAAGAACGGAUGUGGGCAAAAGGGGAGGAGAAGGGUGGAUUGCUAGCAGAGCCAAGGUGGAAAAAUGGAUGCCUCCCCCCCCCAUAUUUGUUUUUGAGACAGAGUCUCACUCUGCAGCACAGACAGGCAUGGAGCUCACUCUCAGAUCAGAGUGCCCUUGAACUCAAGACCCUCUUGUGUCAGCCACCCACCACGCCCCAAUGAAAGAUGAGAACUCUUUUUCUCUUGAAGAAACAUUUAUUUACUUGUGUGUGUGUGUGUGUGUGUGUGUGUGUGAUGCGUUUGGAGGUCAGAGGACAGCCUGUGAGGUUGGGUUUCCCUAUCCACCACACGGGUUCCAGGGAUUGAACUUAGACCAUCAAACUUGGCCUCAAGCGCCGUCCUGCUGGCCCAAGAUGAACUCUUGUGUGCUAAAGAGACAGAAGGAAGGGUAAGUCCAACGAUCGACCACGGAAUUUAAGGAUAUGGAGAGAGGAUACUUUGGUGGCAUUUUUUGGACUAGUGAGGGGUGGAGGGCCAGAUAGGAGUAGAUACAGUAGGGAAGGGAGAAGGGGAGGGCUUGAAGGAGGUCCAAAGGGUUAGCCCUUCCAGGAGUCCUGUCACAGAGGGGCGAGGAAAGAAGGAAGGUAUUUGACAGCCUAAGGUCAUGAGGAACUUUUCCUUUCAGGAAAAAAAAAAUCACAGGCUUUUUCUGUGUUGGUGGAAAUAAUCAGAGAGACAGGGAAGUAUGGUGAGGAGAGGGUGAGUGUUGGCAUGGAGCCCUGGAGAGGCAGGUGGUGUUCGUAUCUGGCACCCAACCGGAGUGGCACACGCCUGUCAUCCCAGAGCUCGGAAGAAAGAGCGCAGGGGGAGAAUCAGGAGUUCAAGGUUAGCCUUGGCUUCAUAGCAACUUCAAGGCUAGCCUGGGCUGCAUGAGACCACCACCACCACCACCACCUAAAAACAACAACAAAGAGAAAGAGAGAGAGAGAGAGAGAGAGAAGGAAACAAGAAACAGGGCUGCCCUGCCGUGGGACAGGGGUGGGUGCUGCCUCAGUGGGAGGAAAGGCAGAGCGGAUGGGCACAGAUGCAGGUGGGUGGGGAGCAGCAGAGCCAGGAGAACUUCUGCGCCAAGGGCUUCUAUUUUCUUAGCAAAAUCGGAAGAGGUUGUCAGCUGAGAGUGAGCUGGAGGAGGAGGUGUGAAGCAGUCGUCUAGGAGAGCGGGUGUGAAUAGACUUGAGGGAUGGAGUGGUGGCUGGGCAGUUGUGGUCCUCUGAGGGGGCCUGGGGGCUGAGCCUGCAGCUGGGGCAGGGGGUGGGGUGGGGGGAGAGCAUGCUGAGGCAUCUACGCCUCUAGGUCUGCAAAACAAAUAAGCAAUGAGGGAAUGGAGGCUGGUAGGCGAGGUAGGAGUUUCACCUUCAGCUCUGGUCCCCCGUGGGACCCGUGCGGGGAUCCGGGGCUGAAUUUACUAGGGCUGUGCCUUUGCCAGGUGACAGUGUACCGUAGCAAGAUCAAUAGGUAAUGUUAGGACACAGCCGCCAGGCUGGGGCAGGAGUGAAGUCGCACCCUGGGCAGGUGAGGGUAACAGAUAUUUGCUCUAAUCAAUGGAUUUCAGGGGGAAGGGUUGAGUUGGGGUACCGGGGCAGGGUGGGCUGCAGAGAAGGGAGAUGUCCAUGGGAGAGCGAGAUUCAUGAGAGGUGGAGGGAUCGCUGACUGAUAAGCACUCCUUGGAAGCCUGGCUGUAGGAGGGGAGAAGAGUGAAGAGGAGACAAGGGCAGGGAGGGAGGGUGAGGAAUGAGGGAGGGAGAAAGAGACAGAGACAGAGACAGAGACAGAGAGACUGAGAGAGAAAGAGAGAGAAAGAGAGAGAGAGACAGAGAGAGCUGUUUGUAUACCUGAAUGCUGGAAUCAAAAAUUGAAGGUAGUGGUGGCACAUGCCUUUAAUUCCAGCACUCAGGAGGCAGAGGCAGGCGGAUCUCUGUUGAGUUACAGGCCAGUCUGAUCCAUAUAGUGACUCCCAAGCCAGCUAGGACUAAUACUAAGACCCUGUUUCAAAACCAAAAAAAACCAAAACAAACAAUCACAACAACAGUCGUACCCCGGUACAGGCUGUACAGGCUCACAUACCUGUAGUCCCAGCAGUGGGAUGGGGGAGGGGGGACCACGCAAGGAGGGACGAGCUGUGGGGUAGGGGGUGGUCAAGAGGAUCAGGGCUUUAAGGCUACUCUCAGCCACAGAGUAAAUUUGAGGCUAGCCUGGGCUAAGAGAACCACUGUAUUCAACCACUGAUGACAUUCAACCAUUGAUCUUUCUCACUCUUUCUGGGGAUCAAACUCAGGGCUUCGAGCACAUGAGUCAACCUCAUCACCCCCUUACCAGUGAGCUAGCCCCUGCUCCUGGCAUCGCUAUCUUUUAAUUAGUUAUGUAUGUGUGGGAGUGCAGGUGCUUACGUGCCACUGAGUGAGGUCAGAGGGCAACUUUCUGAAGAUGGUUUUCUCACCUUCCACCUUUUGUUGCUGCCCUGAGGCUGGCAGGCCUGUUAGCUUCUGAGGAAUCUCCUGUCCCAGAUGGCCCCCAGGACUGAACGCACUCACACAGACGCUAUUAUCUGCUGAUCUCUCUAAGCAGGAGGAGAAACAGGAAGUGACACAAGAAAGCAGUGAGCUGGACCCGGUGGCCUCUGCCUGUAAUGGCAGUCCUGGGGACCCUGAGGCAGGAGGCUCUCAUGCAAGCUUGCAUUAGAUAAUGAGACCAUGUCUCAAAUUAAAACAAAACAAAACCCUGAAACCACUGAUUUCACAACAUGCUGGUACCUCCCUUUGUGGAAAAAGAAAAUCCUCAUAAUUGAACUUCCCCAAACCUAGACCCAAGGGCCACAUGGGCUACCAAAGGGGAACAGAUGUCCUUAAAGGCAGUUUCAUGUUGGAGCAGGAAAGUGAUGGGGAGAAUCAGAAAUGGGGGUGACAAUAUGGGAACGGGAGUCGUCUGAGAUUCAGAGAGCCACGAAAAGGGGGUGGUGAUGAGAAAUGAAGUCAGAGAAGGGCAGUGAGUCCCUGGGCUGAUAGAGGACAGAGAUUUCUUUCUUUCUUUCUUUCUUUCUUUCUUUCUUUCUUUCUUUCUUUCUUUCUUUCUUUCUUUCUUUCGAGACAGGGUUUCUCUGUAUAUCCCUGGCUGUCCUGGAUUCACUUUGUAGACCAGGCUGGCUUCAAACUCACAAAAAUCUGCCUGCCUCUGCCUCCCUAAGUGCUGGAUUAUAGGUGUGCACCACCAUGCCGGGGCUGAGGACAGAGGUUUUGAGUACUGUGUGGGGAUGGAUAUGGCCAGGACAAAAUACAAGGGCCAGAGGCGCAGGAUGGGGGCUGAGCAGAGAGGAGGGAUUUCCUUAGCUUGUGGAUGAAGGUGUGGGGUCUCAGAUGGAUCUUCCUAAGAGCAGAUGUGGCUCAGAUAGGGAAUUUAUUUAUUUUGGGGUGUGUGGGGUGAGGGUGGCUGGGAAUGAACCCAGAGCUAUGCUAAUCCCAUGUUCUACUUCUAAACUCACCACAGCGAAAGAGAAUUGUCCUGACACGAUACGAUCUUGCUUUAUCUGCGUACAAACGGAGUUUGCCCUCAAAAUCUAGAGGUAAAGGGUACAAUUUGGGACAGAUAGAGCAGGUGGAUUAAAAGCUAGUGUUCAGAUGAGGAUGCGGAUCAGCUGGUAGAACCCUUGACCUGCAUGCUCAAAGCCCUGGGAUGGAUUCUCAUCACUGUGUAAAACCAGGUGUGGUGCUAUAUAAUCUCAGCACUUGGGAGGUAGAGGGAGGAGAAUGAGUUCAAGGUCAUCCUUAAGAACGCAGCAAGUGUGAGGUCAGCCUGGGCUAUGUGAGACUCUGUCUCACAAUCAAAAACAGGGGCUGGAGGGAUGGCCCGGCAUCAGUCAAGAGCGUCGGCCCUUGCAGAGGAACAGUUUUCAAUCCCAGCAUCCACGCUCAGACCAGCUUGCAGCUCCAGCUCCAGGGGACCUGGCGCCCUCUUCUGGCUUCACCAGGCAUGCACGCGGUGUACAUACACACACGCUGGCAAAACACAGGUAUAAAUAAAAUUCCACAAAGCAUGUGGGAAUGCUGUAGAGAGCCGUUCAUAGGCAGCCCAUUGACUUUCAGCAGAAGCUGCUAAACCGUGGGCUGACCUUGCUCACGAACGAUGCCAGGGCGGUUUCUCAGCUUGGAGUACAAUUGACCCGCUCUCUUCCAACCCACAAGCUCCAGACCAGCCACCAACCUCCGUUUAUGAACCGAAACCGUCAAUCUUCUUAAAUAAAAUGCUAAGAACACAAACCAGAAGAACCGAUGGGCUGGAUUUCAUCAGAAUUAAAAACCGGGCUGACGCAAUGACUCAGAGGGUCAAGACACUUGGCAUCAAACCUGGUGGCCAGGGUUUGGUCCCCAGGACAUUCGCUGGGCAAUGAGACAACCAAGUUCUGCAUGCUGUCCUCUGACUUCCACAUUUAGGGUGUGACGAACUCACCAACCUCCUGCCCCGAGAGUAAAUAAAUGCAAAAUAUUUAAGAAUCACCCAGGAGAUGAGAUGCCCUCUUCUGACCUUCCUAGGUACCAGGUAUGCAUGUGGUCCACUCAGGUACAAACACACACUUAAAAAAAAAAAAAAAGGAUUAAAAGGACUGGGCAUGGUGACAUGGGAGCCCAGCACUCAAGAGGCAGAGAUGGAUGGAUCUCUGUGAGUUUGAUUUGAAGUAAGCCUGGUCUACAUAGUGAGUUCCAGGGCAACCAGGGCUACAGAGACUCUAUCUCAAACAAAACAAAACAAAAAAGAAUAAAUAAAUAUUAAAAAAUCAAUAUUCAGAAACUAUUAUAGCAGCCUGGAAUUCAUUCUCUCUCUCUGCCUCUCUGUCUUCCUCCCUCUCUCUCCCUCCCUCUCCUCCUUUUUUCUCUCUUUCCCUCUCUCUCUCCUCCCUCUCCCUCUCUCCCUCCCUCUCUCCCUCUGAGCCAUCUCUCCAGCCCCUAAAGACAGUCUUUAUAUGAUUAGGGAAGUUUUUUUCCACUUCUGGUUUGGCAAAAGACUUUUUAAAUUACUCACCCAUUUAAUCCAAUCAGUGCUGGGUUGUAGCGGGUGCUUUCUCUGCCUCCAUUGAGAUAACCAGCCGAGUUUUCUCCCUUUGAAGUCUGUCCUGAUCAGUUACACAGACUGCUUUCUGAACAUCAACCAAACCUUACAUUCCUAGACUGGAAUAUAAGUUGGUGGUCAUUCCUCUUAUGCCUGUAUGUCUGGCAAAUUCUGUUCAUUAAACUUAUUUGGGGAUUUCAUAGCUGUGUUCAUAAAUAAAACUGGCCUUUAAUUCUCUUAUUGAUUUUCAGAUUGGAGGUCAGGGUCAAUGCUGACCUCCAUAAGGUGACUUAAGAAUGCCUUCUGUUCCUCAGAUGGAAAUGCCUAAGCUUUCGGAAGUGUAAUCAUGGGAUAUUUUUUUUCCCCUUGAACAUUCAACACAACCCAAAGAUAAAGCUAUCUGAAUUUGUAGUUUUCUUCCUGGGAAGACUUUUUAUUUUAAAAAAUGGGUUUCAUGUAGCUAAGGCUGGCUUAAAACUUGCUGCCAAGCCAAUGAAAACCUUGAACUUCUGAUCCUCCUGCCUCCCCCUCCAGAGGCUGGGGUUGCAGGUGUGUGCCACCAGGCCUGUUUUAUGCAGUGCUGAGAAUCGAACCCACGGCCCCAUACAAGUCAAGCAAAGCACUCUACCACCUUUGAGCUAUCUAACUUUCCUCUCUUGUCUCUCUUUCUUCCUUUCUCCCUCUCUCCUCCCCUCCCAUCCUCCCUUCCUUCCCUUCUACCUUUUCCCUCUUCUCUUUCUUUUCUUUUCUUUCUUUUUUGAGAUGGACUCUAAAGUAGUCCAGGCUGGUCUCAAACUUUCUAUGUAGCUGAGACUGGCCUUGAAUUUGAAAGAAAUCACGUAGUUAUUUAGUGCAUGUGUAACGCAGUGCACACACCAGAGGACAGCCUGUAGGAAAGUCUAACCCCUCUCCCUCUUCCCACCACGAGAGGCCCAGAGGUCGGAUCCAGGCUUACAGGUGAGCACCGCUCACACUGAGCCAUCUUAAAGGCUCUGGCCUUGAGCCUUUGAUCCUCUGGAGUUUAUCUCCCACAUUCUCACAUGCUGGGAUUACGUGUGAGCACCACCAAACCCAGCUGACUGCAGAUUCAUAAUUGCUGUUUGAAUCUACAGGAUUUAUAGGAUAUUGUGGUUUUCCAUGUCUUCAUGAGUCAUUUGAUAAUUCGUUAUUUCUAGGAAUUUUCCAUUUCAUCUGAGCCUUUCAGAGCUGUUGACAUUAAGCUACGCAUCACAUCCUCUUGGUAUCUUGGCUUUAUUUUGCUUACGCUGUCUGGAUGGUAUGCGUGUGUUCAUGCCUGCACGUGUGUGCAUUUGUGAGAAUGAGCAUGUGUGCACAUGCAUGUGGAAAUCCGGAGGUCAACAUUGGGUGUCUUCCUUUCAUUCUACACCUUAUCUUUUGGGACAAGUCCUUUCAUUAAACCCUGCACUUCCCGAUCCAGCCGUCAUUGGUGCUGGGGUCCCAGCUCAGCUCAGUGCUUCCAGGCGAGCACGUUCCCCCGACAGCUCCACUCAGCAACUUUAAGAUGUACAUGGAAGCUCCUGGAGUGAGCUCUCCUUCAGUCCUCAGUGAUUUGUUCUUUGUGGUUGUUGCUGUUGUUGUUUUUAAGAGACAGGGUUUCUCUGUGUACCCCUGGCUGUCCUGGAACUAGCUCAGUCUGUCGGAAAUCUGCCUGCCUGUGCCUCCUGAGUGUGGGGAUUAAAGGUGCGAGCCACCAUUCCUGGCUUAGUUAUUUGUUUUUAGUUAAUAGUCUCAUCAGAGUUUUCUCAUUCUGAAGUCUUGCUGGGGGUUAAUUUUGUGGUCCAGUAGGUGUUUUUUUUUUUUUUGUUUGUUUGUUUGUUUGUUUGUUCGUUUUUUAAAACAAAGUCUCACUCUAGUUUUCCAGGCUGGCCUGCACCUCAUGAUGAUCUGGCUGGCCUCAAACUCCCUUGGGAUCACAGGCACAAGCCAUCACAUUCUGUGAAAGAGCACACUGAUUUCAGUACUCCCAAGGUUGUAGGUUUCAGUUCUCAGCACUGAUUUUUUUCUUCUUUUUUGUUUUUUUCUGAGAUAGGGCUUCUCUGUGUAGCCUUGGCUGUCCUGGACUCACUUUGUAGACCAGGCUGGCCUCGAACUCAGAGAUUCACCUUCCUCUGGGAUCACAGGCAUGCACCACCACACCCGGCUCUACUAAUCUUUUUAAAUUGAUGAUCAAAGUAUAGUAAUAAAAAAAAAAUUCUCUCUAUUA